rnacentral:lncRNA from 1 species
UUCAAAGAGGUUUGUUGCGUUCUUGACAAAUUUUGGAGUCACACGUCAAAAUUAUUUAGGUUUGAAUGGAAUUAAUUGGUAUAGUUUGUCCCUUUGACCCACAACGAGAAGCGUUGAUAGUGAUGGACUCCUCUUGUUUAUGUUACAAUUGAUCAUGGUGGUAUGCAUGCUAGACCAAAGUUUAAGCACAUGCAUUGGAUUUCCUCCCACCGGCUCUAAGUGGGGGAACCGACACCCUAUGCCUUAAAUCUGUCUUCUUAGGGGUUGUUUGGUUUGUGAGGCGGCUUGCUAGUGAUAUGUCAAAGUUCUGCAUUGGGUAUAUGAACACAUCACGUCACCCAUGCUUACAUAUAUUUGGG